rnacentral:rRNA from 1 species
UCUUCCGCAAUGGACGAAAGCCUGACGGAGCAACGCCGCGUGAGUGAUGAAGGUUUUCGGAUCGUGAAACUCUGUUGUUAGGGAAGAAAAAGUACCGUUCGAAUAGGGCGGUACCGUGACGGUACGUAACCAGAAAGCCAAGGCUAACUACGUGACAGCAGCCGCGGUAAUACGUAGGUGGCAAGUGUUGUCCGGAAUUAUUGGGCGUAAAGCGCGCGCAGGCGGUUUCUUAAGUCUGAUGUGAAAGCCCCCGGCUCAACCGGGGAGGGUCAUUGGAAACUGGGGAACUUGAGUGCAGAAGAGGAGAGUGGAAUUCCACGUGUAGCGGUGAAAUGCGUAGAGAUGUGGAGGAACACCAGUGGCGAAGGCGACUCUCUGGUCUGUAACUGACGCUGAGGCGCGAAAGCGUGGGGAGCGAACAG